CUCAGAAUUAAGUGACUUGCCCAGUCACACAGCAAGUAAGAAUUAAGUAUCUAAAGCUGGAUUUGAAUUCAGGUCUUUCUUCUUAACUCUAGGCCCAGUGCCCUAUCCACCGAGCCUCCUAGCAGUCUGGUAUUACAGAUGAGGACACUGAGACUCAGAGAGGUAAAGAGACUCCUUUAAAUUUCUCAUAGUUAGUAAGUGGCUGAACUGAAAUCCCUACUGAUAACUCUAAAUUCAGUGCUCUUUCCACUCUUUUACUCUGUGUAGCAAUUGCCAGAAAUCUUUAGUGAGCAUUGGAAGGGCUCAUGAAAAGAACCUGAGCAGUUCUAGGGUGUUCAAAUGAAUUUCUGGGAAGGAACAGGACACAGGAGAAUUCCUGAGCAGCCUCAAGGGUUUCUGAGCUGGAAAAUCAUGUGAUAAGAAGAGAGGAACAGGAACCAGAAAUAGUAGCAGCAGGAACUUCUCUAAGAACUCAAAGAAGUUCCAGAACUGAACUACAAAAGGUCCCCUCAAAGCUCACCUGGGAUCAGGGAUCUGGCUACUUGGGAGCUUCCUAUUUCAACUAAUGUUUCUUGCUAGUGAUGUUAUUUUUCAUUGUUCUCAAAGAGGAGCAUAACUUAGAAAUGAUAUGGAUUUAAGUGAGGGGAGGCUGGGCAAGGUCACCUGCCUCUUGUUCCCCUCCAGAGCCAGCUGGAUCCAAUGGCAAGAUAUAGAUCAGGAGUAGAGUUGGCCCUGAAUACAAUGGCAGACCUUGGCCUUUUGAAACUCAAGUCUUCAACAGGUCUCAGAGAGUUCUCAGUCAAUAGGAAGAUAAUAUUGAAGAUACAUAGAGAUAUUAGAGAUGUUAGAAGUGACUGUAGGAAAAAACACAACCAUUCAUUCCUCCUUCAAGAUGGAUAUGGAAUAGAAGGAGGUACUGCAACUGACCAUUCAGUGAUUAAGGUCAGAUGAUCUUGAUUUUGGCCUUUUUUGUACUUCACAGACUAUACAGAAACUAUUGAAUUAUGGUUUGGCUUACACCUGUCGGAUUGGCUAAGAUGACAGGAAAAGAUAAGGAAGAAUGUUGGAGAGGAUGUGGGAAAACUGGGACACUGAUACAUUGUUCGUGAGACUGUGAACGGAUCCAACCAUUCUGGACAACAGUUCGUAACUAUGCUCAAAAAGUUAUCAAACUGCCCAUACCCUUUGAUUCAGCAGUGUUUCUACUGGGCUUAUAUCCCAAAGAGAUCUUAAAAGAGGGAAAGGGACCUACAUGUGCCAAAAUGUUUGUGGCAGUCUUUUUUGUAGUGGCUAGAAAUGGGAAACUGAUUGGAUGCCCAUCAAUUGGAGAAUGGCUGAGUAAAUUAUGGUGUACGAAUGUUAUGGAAUAUUAUUGUUCUAUAAGAAACGACCAGCAAGAUGAUUUCAGAGAGGCCUGGAGAGACUUACAUGAACUGAUGCUGAGUGAAUUGAGUAGAACCAGGAGAUCAUUACACAUGGCAACAAGAAGACCAUACAAUGAUCAGUUCUGAUGGAUAUGGCUCUCGUCAACAAUGAGAUGAUUCAAACAAGUUCCAGUUGUUCAGUGAUGAAGAAAGCCAUAUACAUCCAAAAAGAAUCCUGUGAAAACUGAGUAUGGAUCACAACAUAGGAUUUUCAUGCUUUCUAUUGAUAUUUGCUUGCAUUUUGUUUUCCUUCUCAAGUUUUAUUUUUCUUUCUAGAUCUGAUUUUUCUUGUUCAGCAAGAUAACUGUAUAAAUACGUAUACAUAUAUUAGAUUUAACAUAUAUUUUAACAUAUUUAACAUUAUUGGACUGCCAUCUAGGGGAGCUGAUGGGGAGAAGGAGGGAAAAAUUUGGAACAGAAAGUUUUUGCGAGGGACACAAUUACCCAUGCAUAUGUUUUGUAAAUAAAAA
rnacentral:lncRNA from 1 species